UGAAUACGAGAUGCUACGGCGUCGAAGCAGUCUAUGUCAUACUUCCAAGAAAAGCUUGCACUGUCAUAAACAAAUAAUGCCUGUACCAUAACCGACACAGGUGGGUAGGUAGAGUAUACUAAGGGGCGCGAGAUAACUCUCUCUAAGGAACUCGGCAAAAUGACUCCGUAACUUCGGGAGAAGGAGUGCCUUAUUUAUAAGGUUGCAAUAACAAGAUCCAAGCAACUGUUUACCAAAAACACAGGUCUCCGCUAAGUCGUAAGACGAUGUAUGGGGGCUGACGCCUGCCCAGUGCCAGAAGGUUAAAGAAGUUGGUUAGCAUCCGCGAAGCUGAUAACUGAAGCCCUGGUGAACGGCGGCCGUAACAAUAACGGUCCUAAGGUAGCGAAAUUCCUUGUCGGGUAAGUUCCGACCCGCACGAAAGGCGUAAUGAUUUGGAUACUGUCUCGGAGAGGGGCUCGGUGAAAUAGACUUGUCUGUGAAGAUGCGGACUACCUGCACCAGGACAGAAAGACCCUAUGAAGCUUUACUGUAACCUGAAAUUGAAAUUGGACUUUACUCGCGCAGUAUAGGUGGGAGGCGUUGAGAAUAUUCUUGCGGGAUUAUUGGAGCCAUCAGUGAGAUACCACUCUUGUAAUGUUAGAUUUCUAACUUUGUAUCAUUAUCUGGUCAAAGAACAGUUUCAGGCGGGCAGUUUGACUGGGGCGGUCGCCUCCUAAACGGUAACGGAGGCGCACAAAGGUUUCCUCUGAACGGGUAGAUAUCGUAUCUAGAGUGUAAAGGCAUAAGGAAGCUUGACUGUGAGACCUACAAGUCGAGCAGGGACGAAAGUCGGUCUUAGUGAUCUGACGGUGCUGAGUGGAAGGGCCGUCACUCAACGGAUAAAAGUUACUCUAAGGAUAACAGGCUGAUCUCCCCCAAGAGUUCACAUCGACGGGGAGGUUUGGCACCUCGAUGUCGGCUCAUCGCAUCCUGGGGCGGUAGUACGUCCCAAGGGUUGGGCUGUUCGCCCAUGAAAGCGGUACGCGAGCUGGGUUCAGAACGUCGUGAGACAGUUCGGUCCAUAUCCGGUGUAGGCGUUAGAAUAUUGAGAGGAGCCUUCUUUAGUACGAGAGGACCGAGAAGGACAUACCUCUGGUGUACCAGUUAUCGUGCCAACGGUAAACGCUGGGUAGCUAUGUGUGGAGUGGAUAACCGCUGAAAGCAUCUAAGUGGGAAGCCCACCUCAAGAUAAG
rnacentral:rRNA from 1 species